GUUAUCAGGAAGAUCACCGAUGGAUUGUAGUUUCCUCAGGAAGUCUGUGGUGUCUCAAAGAUAGCUGGGAGUGCUGGUAGCGUAGGGCCUGAGGAGGGAGUCUACAUAGCCAGCCAAUCCUGCUGUCACGGUGCUAAUGCCUGAGAUGAAGGGGCGUCCAGGAUUUCCAGGUUUAUGGAUUUUGGGUAGCAGAUAGAAUACCCCUGGUCAGGGUUCAAAAACCAGGGGUAUUUCUGUCUGGAUUUGU